GGGCUCCGGGCGGCCGUGACCCUGCUGGAGUCCGGGGGGGACCUCCAGCCCCCCGGGGGGUCCCUGCGCCUCCUCUGCCGAGGGUCCGGCUUCAGUUUCGGGAAUUUUGACAUGUACUGGAUCCGUCAGAGACCCGGGCAGGGCCUGGAGUGGGUCGCGUGGAUCUACUACAAUGGUGCCAGCACCAACUACGCGCCAUCGUUGAAGGGCCGGGUGACGAUCUCCAGGGACAACGGGCAGAGCUCGGUGACGCUGACCAUGAACAGCCUCAAGGACGACGAUUCCGGAUCCUAUUUCUGUGCCAGAUGUUACACCAGUGGUUGUGGUAAUGCUGCUGAUGCUUAUGCUGGCCGGGUGACGAUCUCCAGGGACAACGGGCAGAGCUCGGUGACGCUGACCAUGAACAGCCUCAGGGACGAGGAUUCCGGAUCCUAUUUCUGUGCCAAACGUGCUGCUGCUUGGGGUGCUGCUGGUGGUGCUCAUGAUGAAGUCGCCCCUGAUGGAUCCCUGGCCCCACCUCAGCGUCCCCACCUGUCCCCAAACCCAGACCCUUCCCCAAACCUCAGCCCUUGA